CCUCGGGAGGCAGCCGUGGGGCAUAUUGCACAAUGGGCGCAAGCCUGAUGCAGCCAUGCCGCGUGUGUGAAGAAGGCCUUCGGGUUGUAAAGCACUUUCAGCGGGGAGGAAGGCGGUGAGGUUAAUAACCUCAUCGAUUGACGUUACCCGCAGAAGAAGCACCGGCUAACUCCGUGCCAGCAGCCGCGGUAAUACGGAGGGUGCAAGCGUUAAUCGGAAUUACUGGGCGUAAAGCGCACGCAGGCGGUCUGUCAAGUCGGAUGUGAAAUCCCCGGGCUCAACCUGGGAACUGCAUUCGAAACUGGCAGGCUAGAGUCUUGUAGAGGGGGGUAGAAUUCCAGGUGUAGCGGUGAAAUGCGUAGAGAUCUGGAGGAAUACCGGUGGCGAAGGCGGCCCCCUGGACAAAGACUGACGCUCAGGUGCGAAAGCGUGGGGAGCAAACAGGAUUAGAUACCCGGGUAGUC
rnacentral:rRNA from 1 species